rnacentral:rRNA from 1 species
UACAGGGGGUGCAAACGUUGCUCGGAAUUAUUGGGCGUAAAGCGCGCGUAGGCGGCUACCUAAGUCGGAUGUGAAAGCCCCUGGCUUAACUGGGGAAGUGCACCCGAAACUGAGUAGCUAGAGUGCGAAAGAGGGUCGCGGAAUUCCCGGUGUAGAGGUGAAAUUCGUAGAUAUCGGGAGGAACACCGGUGGCGAAGGCGGCAUCCUGGACCAACACUGACGCUGAGGAGCGAAAGCUAGGGGAGCAAACGGG